rnacentral:rRNA from 1 species
UACGUAGGUGGCAAGCGUUGUCCGGAAUUACUGGGCGUAAAGCGCACGCAGGUGGCUGAGAAAGUCGAUUGUGAAAGCCCUGGGCUUAACCUGGGAAUUGCAGUCGAAACUACUCGGCUAGAGUAUGGGAGAGGGUAGUGGAAUUCCCGGUGUAGCGGUGAAAUGCGUAGAUAUCGGGAGGAACAUCAGUGGCGAAGGCGGCUACCUGGCCCAAUACUGACACUCAGGUGCGACAGCGUGGGGAGCAAACAGG